UCAAGACAUAAAAUUUAUUUAAAUAAUAAGGGCCACUGCCCAAAACUUAAAGAACAUGGCGGUGUCUUAUAAAUUCAGGGGAACCUGUUCCUUAAUUUGAUAAUCCACAAACCACCCAACCAAAUUUUACUAAGCCUGUAUACUGCUGUCGCCAGCAAGCUUAAAUUUAAGCUUGCACUACAUAAUACGUCAAGUCAAAGUGCAGUAAAUAAUAUGGAGAGAAAUGGGUUACAACCUAAAUAUAGAUACUUAAAACAUAAAUAAACUUAGGUGGACUUGAUAGUAAUAUAAAAAACUAUAAAUAUUUAUCUAAGACAUGUACACAUCGCCCGUCACUCCCAUAAAAAUG
rnacentral:rRNA from 1 species